ensembl:lncRNA
UGUUGGCACUAUGUGAUGACUGCCUUGUGCCCAGCUGCCGAGCGCAGUUACCAUGCCCAGAUGGCGGCUCAGGGUCGUGUGGCGGCAGAGCCCUGCGUUCAUUGUUGGAGUGAUGGAUUUGGUUGUUCAGAUGUUUACUAAGCAUCUCUCCUGUGCCAGGUCCUGCGCCCUGUGCGACUCAGGCACAAAGACUGGGAAUUUCUGGGGAGCUGAACCAGGCGGACAGGAUUUGGAACCUGGGAGCGAUUCUCUUUGUCCGAAGCGGCCUCUCACCAGUCCAAUCCAGUGUGUAGGUUAAUAAGGCUUAAACUUUAAAGGCAGGGUGAACAUCUGAUUGACAAGCUGCUGAAUGAGAGUCCAGGGGGAAGUUCUGGGCUUGGAAAGUGCCCCGCUUCCUGAGAUGCAGCUGAAUUUUAAAGAGCCCCGGGCUCGCCACCUCCAGAGGCCGACUGGCACUGCUCAGCCCGCUUCCAGCUGGUCUCGGAAUCAGCACCGGAAGUGCUGCCUGGAAGAAUCACUCUUGUCCCCCAAUGAAAGGUGACUCAGGCUGGGAUCGAUCGCAAGUCAGCGUGAUCAGCUCCGAGGUGACCCUGCUCAGCCUUGGGCCAGGCUCAGUCCCGAUCCCCACCAGGAGCCCCCAGAAGCCGGGCCAGGGAAACUGUGGCUGAACAAUGAGAAAUACACGAGUGGCUGCAUCUCCACCUUCAGGGCUGUUUGGAUACCAAAUGAGUUACUUCAAGCAGAGCAGAGCUUGGUCUACAGCAAGCUGUUGAUGUCAGUGGACCACAUCUCCACGAAUGCUGCGCUGCACAACAAGCAGAGGUUGGCAUCCUCCUUGGUAGUUAAGCUCCUGUGAUAUCGUGAAAUACAUAUGUGGUCUGCUUCCCUCCAAGAAUCCUCCAAAAUGCGAGGUCUUAUUUUCGGGGGACACAGCACCUGGCCGUGACUGCUCUGGCCCCGGGCACCCAGUCUGGGUGAGGAGCGAGUCCUCCUGCCCUCGCCUGCUCUCUGCACCAGUGACUUUCUCCUGGAACCUUCCUUGGUGGUCUGACUUCAGCAUCCUGUGCGUCCAGGCUGAGACUCAGUGACACACGGGCAGAUGGCCUGAAGCCGAACAGACAGCAGGAGUGUACGUUUAUCAAAUUUGGGCUGGAAAGACCCUGUGCCCCAGCAGAGGCUGUCAUACAGCUGUCACAGAGGAGCAUAUGGUCCAGCGGUGGGACCCGGCCACGCUGAUCCCACUCUCGGGGAGAUUAGCUCUGAUGAGUGAGGAAGGCUGCUGCUGUUGCUGGGAGCUGGGGAACUUGCGGUGGUGAAUUCGUGAACCACCGUCUUGAAUUCUUGAACCUUCGCACGACCCAGGCUCCAGAGGGGACUGCAGAGCAAUGUGGCUGACAGGGACACAAGACAGCCAACAUGCACCGGUCUCCAGCCCCUCGAGAGACAGAUCCUUCCAUGCUCACUUUUCCUGUACCCCGGCCCCCAUCCACCGACCAGGAAAUGCACAUCUGAGACCCUGUGUGGGUCCCCCGGUGGCGGAAGUGGUGGGCGCCCUGUCUAUGGGACAUGAGGCUGCACCCUAUGUCCCUGCACCCUGUUCCACCUCAUGGGAGAGACACUGACAGGAAGCACAAGGCAGCGAGGGUGCAGAUGGGACUGUGCUCAUGUAUGGGGCCUAGUAGGGGCCUGGCUUUUCAUACUUCGGAGUCCAGGACCACAGGACUCAGGACAGACAGACCCAGCACCAAGGGACGCUGCCUGGGACACACACUGCCUGGUGCUGUGGUUCUUACCCUGCACCUCUGCCUGUGGUACUGGGGACUGAACCCAGGGCCUUCGCAAUGAGCUCCAUCCCCAG